rnacentral:misc_RNA from 1 species
GAAAUGCGAUAAGUAAUGUGAAUUGUAGAAUUCAGUGAAUCAUCGAAUCUUUGAACGCACAUUGCGCCCCUUGGUAUUCCAUGGGGCAUGCCUGUUCGAGCGUCAUUUGUACCUUCAAGCUUUGCUUGGUGUUGGGUGUUUGUCUCGCCUCUGCGUGUAGACUCGCCUCAAAACAAUUGGCAGCCGGCGUAUUGAUUUCGGAGCGCAGUACAUCUCGCGCUUUGCACUCAUAACGACGACGUCCAAAAGUACAUUUUUACACUCUUGACCUCGGAUCAGGUAGGGAUACCCGCUGAACUUAAGC